rnacentral:rRNA from 1 species
GAUGAACGCUGGCGGCGUGCCUAAUACAUGCAAGUCGAGCGCACGGACGAGAAGCUUGCUUCUCUGAUGUUAACGGCGGACGGGUGAGUAACACGUGGAUACCCUACCUAUCAGACUGGGAUCACUUCGUGAAACCGGAGCUAAUACCGGAUAAUCUUUUGAACCGCAUGGUUCAAAAGUAAAAGACGGUCUUGCUGUCAUUUAUAGCUGGAUCCUCGCUGCAUUAGCUAGUUGGUAAGGUAACGGCUUACCAAGGCAACGAUGCAUAGCCGACCUGAGAGGGGGAUCGGCCACACUGGAACGGAGACACGGUCCAAACUCCUACGGGAGGCAGCAGUAGGGAAUCUUCCGCAAUGGGCGAAAGCCUGACGGAGCAACGCCGCGUGAGUGAUGAAGGUCUUCGGAUCGUAAAACUCUGUUAUUAGGGAAGAACAUAUGUGUAAGUAACUGUGCACAUCUUGACGGUACCUAAUCAGAAAGCCACGGCUAACUACGUG